rnacentral:rRNA from 1 species
UACGUAGGGAGCGAGCGUUGUCCGGAAUCAUUGGGCGUAAAGAGCAUGUAGGUGGAUCAAUUAGUCUGCUGUGAAAGUCGAAGGCUCAACCUUCGAAAGCCGGUGGAUACUGUUGAUCUAGAGUACGGAAGAGGCGAGUGGAAUUCCUGGUGUAGCGGUGGAAUGCGCAGAUAUCAGGAGGAACACCAAUAGCGAAGGCAGCUCGCUGGGACGUAACUGACACUGAGAUGCGAAAGCGUGGGGAGCAAACAGG